rnacentral:rRNA from 1 species
AGAGUUUGAUCCUGGCUCAGGAUGAACGCUGGCUACAGGCUUAACACAUGCAAGUCGAGGGGAAACGGCAUUGAGUGCUUGCACUCUUUGGACGUCGACCGGCGCACGGGUGAGUAACGCGUAUCCAACCUUCCCAUUACUGUGGGAUAACCUGCCGAAAGGCAGACUAAUACCGCAUAGUCUUCGAUGACGGCAUCAGAUUUGAAGUAAAGAUUUAUCGGUAAUGGAUGGGGAUGCGUCUGAUUAGCUUGUUGGCGGGGUAACGGCCCACCAAGGCGACGAUCAGUAGGGGUUCUGAGAGGAAGGUCCCCCACAUUGGAACUGAGACACGGUCCAAACUCCUACGGGAGGCAGCAGUGAGGAAUAUUGGUCAAUGGGCGAGAGCCUGAACCAGCCAAGUAGCGUGCAGGAUGACGGCCCUAUGGGUUGUAAACUGCUUUUGUAUGGGGAUAAAGUCAAUCACGUGUGAUUGUUUGCAGGUACCAUACGAAUAAGGACCGGCUAAUUCCGUGCCAGCAGCCGCGGUAAUACGGAAGGUCCAGGCGUUAUCCGGAUUUAUUGGGUUUAAAGGGAGCGUAGGCUGGAGAUUAAGUGUGUUGUGAAAUGUAGACGCUCAACGUCUGAAUUGCAGCGCAUACUGGUUUCCUUGAGUACGCACAACGUUGGCGGAAUUCGUCGUGUAGCGGUGAAAUGCUUAGAUAUGACGAAGAACUCCGAUUGCGAAGGCAGCUGACGGGAGCGCAACUGACGCUUAAGCUCGAAGGUGCGGGUAUCGAACAGGAUUAGAUACCCUGGUAGUCCGCACAGUAAACGAUGGAUGCCCGCUGUUGGUACCUGGUAUCAGCGGCUAAGCGAAAGCAUUAAGCAUCCCACCUGGGGAGUACGCCGGCAACGGUGAAACUCAAAGGAAUUGACGGGGGCCCG